AGGUUUGGUGAAGCCAUGGUUCGAUGGAGUUUCUUUGGAAGCCUUGGUGUUAUGAAGUAACUUCUAAUGGCGACGACACGAAGAAGAGCUGAUUUAAAGGUGCUGAAGAGAUACAAGUCUUACGAAGCCAGACUUGCAUGCUGUGAUUAGCACUGGAAAUAUGAAUCUGAUGUGUACCAUGAACAUGAGCAAAGAGCUUUCAUAGUGGCCAUGCUUGGAACUUGAUGAAGAUAAAGAGUGAUGCUUGGAUUUGAAGAAGCGAAACAAGUUUUUAGGAGUCAAACCGAGUCUUGUUUAAUAGUCAUAGUAUUUGGUCAAAUGUUGUAAAAAUGAAGGGUUUUCUUGUAGUUUCCCAACUUUGUUCUUGUACUGCUUUGUAAUUACACCCUUGAAUUUUGUAUUUA